GAUGAACGCUGGCGGCGUGCCUAAUACAUGCAAGUCGAGCGAACAGACGAGGAGCUUGCUCCUCUGACGUUAGCGGCGGACGGGUGAGUAACACGUGGAUAACCUACCUAUAAGACUGGGAUAACUUCGGGAAACCGGAGCUAAUACCGGAUAACAUGUUGAACCGCAUGGUUCAACAGUGAAAGACGGUCUUGCUGUCACUUAUAGAUGGAUCCGCGCCGCAUUAGCUAGUUGGUAAGGUAACGGCUUACCAAGGCAACGAUGCGUAGCCGACCUGAGAGGGUGAUCGGCCACACUGGAACUGAGACACGGUCCAGACUCCUACGGGAGGCAGCAGUAGGGAAUCUUCCGCAAUGGGCGAAAGCCUGACGGAGCAACGCCGCGUGGGUGAUGAAGGUCUUCGGAUCGUAAAACUCUGUUAUUAGGGAAGAACAAAUGUGUAAGUAACUAUGCACGUCUUGACGGUACCUAAUCAGAAAGCCACGGCUAACUACGUG
rnacentral:rRNA from 1 species